rnacentral:rRNA from 1 species
AUGCCUAAUGAUGCAAGGCCAGGCCCAGUCGCGCGUGAAGGCAGAGAACCCGAUGCGCCGCUGAGCGCCCGCGACCCGGUGAUCCUCGACACCUCGCAACAGAUUUCUCGCGCUGCCACCCUCUCGCCACUGCCACCUCGCGCCGCCGCUCUCUCACAGCGCAGAUCAUCUCCGGAGGACCCUCAUGUCGCUGCCGGCGAGCAGCAGCAGCCGCAGCCGCAGCGGCAAGCUGCGGACAAGGCGCCUCGCACCACCGAGGAGGAGCCGGUGGAUUUUACCAAUAUUUCCCGGUACCAGAGGAUCAACCCAGAGUCCGUUCCAGUCCCAAGUGGCAGCGGCAGCGGCAGUGGCAGCUCCACCACCAGGAAGCUAACAGAACACGCACCAUCACCCAUACCAAGCAUGGACGAGCGCAACGGGGCCACAGCCGUGGACGCCGACAACUCGAGCCUCGCGUCCUACCUCGCUCGCGCCUCGCUCAAGCAGCGUUGGCCAGGAGGGCGUCCGGCGUCCUCAUCCGCUGUCAUCGUGAGCGAUCACCAGCUGCACAACACCUCCGUGCACUCCUCGCAGGGACUCAACCUGGGCGGCGGCCUCUACGACUUGGCAGCCCAAGCCUCCGAGGUAUCCAACAGCCUCGGUGGCGCGGUCUACACCUUCGACGCCCAGGCCUCCCAGGUAUACAACAGCCUCGACGGCGGCCUCUGCAACCUCGCCGCCCAGGCUACCCAGGGAGCCGACCUCGGCGCAGGCGAGAUCUACAACCUCGCCGCCUAG